GAUGAACGCUGGCGGCGUGCCUAAUACAUGCAAGUCGAGCGAACAGACGAGGAGCUUGCUCCUUUGACGUUAGCGGCGGACGGGUGAGUAACACGUGGGUAACCUACCUAUAAGACUGGGAUAACUUCGGGAAACCGGAGCUAAUACCGGAUAAUAUUUCGAACCGCAUGGUUCGAUAGUGAAAGAUGGCUUUGCUGUCACUUAUAGAUGGACCUGCGCCGCAUUAGCUAGUUGGUAAGGUAACGGCUUACCAAGGCAACGAUGCGUAGCCGACCUGAGAGGGUGAUCGGCCACACUGGAACUGAGACACGGUCCAGACUCCUACGGGAGGCAGCAGUAGGGAAUCUUCCGCAAAGGGCGAAAGCCUGACGGAGCAACGCCGCGUGAGUGAUGAAGGUCUUCGGAUCGUAAAACUCUGUUAUUAGGGAAGAACAAACGUGUAAGUAACUGUGCACGUCUUGACGGUACCUAAUCAGAAAGCCACGGCUAACUACGUG
rnacentral:rRNA from 1 species